UACGUAGGGUGCGAGCGUUGUCCGGAAUUAUUGGGCGUAAAGAGCUCGUAGGCGGUGUGUCGCGUCGGCCGUGAAAACUUGCAGCUUAACUGUGGGCGUGCGGUCGAUACGGGCAUCACUGGAGUUCGGCAGGGGAGACUGGAAUUCCUGGUGUAGCGGUGAAAUGCGCAGAUAUCAGGAGGAACACCGGUGGCGAAGGCGGGUCUCUGGGCCGAAACUGACGCUGAGGAGCGAAAGCGUGGGGAGCAAACAGG
rnacentral:rRNA from 1 species